UUUCUGCGCAUGCUCCGAACUUAAUGGUAUAAUAUGUGUUUUAUAGCAUAAUGAUGCAAACAUAACAGUAUUUACAUUCAUCACAUUACUGUGCUGGAAAACAAUAUAAAUUAAAUAAAAAGAAGAAAAAAUGUAGAAGAAGAAAAGCGGGACAAAGACAGAGUAUUGGGUGACCUACGUUCCUGUGGUGGUGAACAUGACUGCGAGUUCUCCAGAAGAACAAAUGCUGGGAACUAAACGAAGAGGAAUGAAUGAAAAGUGGUAUCCAAUCUGUGAUAUUAUUGGGGACCUGAUUAUGGUUCAGAACGAUCUAUAAAACAUAACUGACUACUAAAAUCAGAUUGU